AGGGGAAUAUUGCACAAUGGGCGCAAGCCUGAUGCAGCCAUGCCGCGUGUGUGAAGAAGGCCUUCGGGUUGUAAAGCACUUUCAGCGGGGAGGAAGGGAGUAAAGUUAAUACCUUUGCUCAUUGACGUUACCCGCAGAAGAAGCACCGGCUAACUCCGUGCCAGCAGCCGCGGUAAUACGGAGGGUGCAAGCGUUAAUCGGAAUUACUGGGCGUAAAGCGCACGCAGGCGGUUUGUUAAGUCAGAUGUGAAAUCCCCGGGCUCAACCUGGGAACUGCAUCUGAUACUGGCAAGCUUGAGUCUCGUAGAGGGGGGUAGAAUUCCAGGUGUAGCGGUGAAAUGCGUAGAGAUCUGGAGGAAUACCGGUGGCGAAGGCGGCCCCCUGGACGAAGACUGACGCUCAGGUGCGAAAGCGUGGGGAGCAAACAGG
rnacentral:rRNA from 1 species